GGCGCAUCAGCGUUACUUCUCAAUGUCCUCCUUUUGAACAGAAAGUUCCUACAUAGCCUUGCCAUCUACAUUUUUAUGUGUAUGCCACGUGCUCUCUGCCAAGAGUCUCCUCAUGUGGCAUCUGCUGUGGUUACUGCCGGGUCAAGGCUCCACAGAUAAUGGAAGGACACAGACCAUGCAAAAGACAUGAAGUAUUUGAUAUACAGUAUCACUU
rnacentral:lncRNA from 12 species